AGCUCCAAUAGCGUAUAUUAAAGUUGCUGCAGUUAAAAAGCUCGUAGUUGGAUCUCGGGGUACCUGGUCUAGCCGGUAUAGCUCACGCUAAAACUGGUCUGACCCCCCAACGUGAGGUAUUCGUCUCCGGGUGCACUUCAUUGGGUGCUCGUGAGGGGCCUCGUAGUUACUGUGAAAAAAUUAGAGUGUUCAAAGCAGGCUCAUAUGUUCGGAUAGUCGUGCAUGGAAUAAUUGAUUCCUGGCCUGGCGCUUUCCGGUUGGUUUCGGGGACUGGUCAAAUGAUUAGGGGGGCCGGCCGGGGCAUUGGUAUGGCGGGGUUAGAGGUGAAAUUCUUGGAUCCUCGCCAGACCAACAAAAGCGAAAGCAUUUGCCAAGAAUGUCUUCA
rnacentral:rRNA from 1 species